GCCAGGUGCAGUGGCCCACGCCUGUAAUCCCAGCAGCUCAGGAGGCUGAGACAGGAGGAUCGUGAGUUCAAAGCCAGCCUCAGCAACAGCAAGGCACUAAGCAACUCAGUGAGACCCUGUCUCUA
rnacentral:sRNA from 1 species